UAAAUAGAGAAAUUUGCAGGCAAAGAAACCCACCUUGAUCAAUAAUGCCCUGAAUCAUCAUAUAUUUACAUAAUUAGGGUUUGCCCUAAGAACAUCAAUUAAUAUCUUCAAAGAAAACUCAUACCAAUCAAACCAACCAUUAGAAUCAAACAAUAUCUUCCAAGGGCUUUGCCCCGAAUUCAAAUACAAGCAUUUACACAGUUUAGAGUACCAAAUUCACAAUAAUACGAGAGAUCGAGUCAUUUACACAGUUUUAGGGCUUGGCCCAGAGUACCUAAUUCACAAUAAUACGAGAGAUCGAGUCAUUUACACAGUUUUAGGGCUUGGCCCAGAUUACUACGAGAGAGAGUCCCAAUACAAGGAAGAAUACGACAUUUAGUCCCAGGACUAGCAAGAAAACGAUCAAGAACCGAUCAAUUAUAGAGCCUAUUCAGCUCACGGAUCCAAACAGCAAUAUCGCGCAUCUUCAUGUUUUACGGGCGAAUACAUAGAUUCCCGGCCCGUAGAUGAGUUGGAGGGAGAGUUGGCCGGAACCGAUAUCAGGGCGAUGACGCACUGCCGAGUCAAAUAGGGUAGCGCUCUCGAAAGCUCGUAAUCAGUCUGUUUAACAACAAGUAUUAAAAAAUAUCAAGAAAAAGAAAAUAUCAAGAAAAUGAUUUUCUCGUAAGCGUUACGGUAAAUGAGAGUUAAAAAAUCUUACAAUGAUGGAAUCUCCAUUGCGUGCUUUCAACAUCACGACGACAAGAGAAUCAGUCGUGUGGUCCCAGAGAUCUUCAGCCAUUUCAGGAGUGACUUCACGGACCCACUAAGAGAAAUAAAAUAAAUGACUUUGUGAAAAUUAAAUACACAUUAAAACGACAUGUAAAAU
rnacentral:lncRNA from 1 species